CUUGAUCCUGCAGGCGCAGCGGCGAUGGACGCUCCCCUGACGGUGGAGGAGCUGCACUCUGCCGCUACAUCCUGUUCUUAAGAACUGGCGUCCCAUCUCUCUUCUGAACGUGGACUACAAGAUCCUCGACAAGGUACUAGCCAACCUGCUGAAGGCUGUCA